GGAAAGGUGGUAGAGUGGUCGAUUACAACGGUCUUGAAAACCGUCGUACCGAGAGGUACCGGGGGUUCGAAUCCCUCCCUUUCCG
rnacentral:tRNA from 1 species